AGACCGUGGCAGUUAAGAAUAAGUGGUCACUGCAGUGUCUUCUCCCUUCAAAAGAUCCAACUGAUGCUGAGGUAGAAAUUGAAUGUCAGCGCCCCCUAAUCCUCCUCUGCAGACUCUUGCGAGGAUGUCUCUUCGGUCUCCUGCAACACACGGAAGGCAGGUUGUCUGUCAUGUAAACAGCCUUGAAAACCACCCUUGAAGUUUCUGUGAAAACAUUCAACAUCUUGGAAGGGCUGAGUGCCACAGGACAACGGGGGUUUCCCAGGAUUCCCUCGUCCCUGUGCCACACCACACAUGGAAGAUCCCCACAGGAUGAAGAUGCUGGCCUUCUCUACGGAUGCUGUACAGGUCCCCGAACAGCCCAUCCAUCUCUAUCUUCCCACUGUUCUCCCCUCACUCCCAUGGCUCCCUACUAAGGAAAUUCAUACAUUUCUUGCCUUUAAUCCCUUGUCCUGAGUGGUCUCUGUGCUCACCGCCUGAUGCCAUUGGGACUGUGACCACCCAGGAUACUCAAUUUUCACCCAUGGUACAUUGCUUCACUACACGGAAGAAGUUAUUUAGAACAGCUCAUUUCAAGCCUGCUUAUACAUACAAUGUUUACGCAUAUUUACAUCAAGGCACGACUACUAGUCAGAGAUCUCAAUGCUGAGCAUUUCUUGCCCAGCUGGAGAGAGAGCUAAGUUCACAGCUCAGAACAAUCCACGCCCCCAGUGUAGAAUGAGAUUGGCCCCAGAGACUGGGUCCAGCCACCUGACCCAACCCGACACACACUUUUUGUCUUCUGCGUGGAAUACAUUUUCAGAAAGGUUUCUAUGUAAUUUCUAAAUCCUCUCAUUGCCUGGAAGAAAAUAUUUCUUCUCCAAAGCAAAAAAGCCAAACCUCUGUGGCCUGAAAUGUCCAAACGUUGAGAUAAAAUAACAUUUUCUUCUUUUUAACUUGAUUCCCUCAGGUGUUCUGUUAUAGUAAUAGAAAGCUAACACACUUUUUAGAUAUGAUUUUAUCUUUUUUAUAUCUUUUUAUCUUUUUUCUUAUAAAUCCGUUCAUGUGAUGAAAGCUAACAAGAAUUAAACCAAGAUAUAAGAACCU
ensembl:processed_transcript 1700006J14Rik RIKEN cDNA 1700006J14 gene